UGCUUAACACAUGCAAGUCGAACGGAAAGGCCCUGCUUUUGUGGGGUGCUCGAGUGGCGAACGGGUGAGUAACACGUGAGUAACCUGCCCUUGACUUUGGGAUAACUUCAGGAAACUGGGGCUAAUACCGGAUAGGAGCUCCUGCUGCAUGGUGGGGGUUGGAAAGUUUCGGCGGUUGGGGAUGGACUCGCGGCUUAUCAGCUUGUUGGUGGGGUAGUGGCUUACCAAGGCUUUGACGGGUAGCCGGCCUGAGAGGGUGACCGGCCACAUUGGGACUGAGAUACGGCCCAGACUCCUACGGGAGGCAGCAGUGGGGAAUAUUGCACAAUGGGCGGAAGCCUGAUGCAGCAACGCCGCGUGCGGGAUGACGGCCUUCGGGUUGUAAACCGCUUUCGCCUGUGACGAAGCGUGAGUGACGGUAAUGGGUAAAGAAGCACCGGCUAACUACGUGCCAGCAGCCGCGGUGAUACGUAGGGUGCGAGCGUUGUCCGGAUUUAUUGGGCGUAAAGGGCUCGUAGGUGGUUGAUCGCGUCGGAAGUGUAAUCUUGGGGCUUAACCCUGAGCGUGCUUUCGAUACGGGUUGACUUGAGGAAGGUAGGGGAGAAUGGAAUUCCUGGUGGAGCGGUGGAAUGCGCAGAUAUCAGGAGGAACACCAGUGGCGAAGGCGGUUCUCUGGGCCUUUCCUGACGCUGAGGAGCGAAAGCGUGGGGAGCGAACAGGCUUAGAUACCCUGGUAGUCCACGCUGUAAACGGUGGGUACUAGGUGUGGGGUCCAUUCCACGGGUUCCGUGCCGUAGCUAACGCUUUAAGUACCCCGCCUGGGGAGUACGGCCGCAAGGCUAAAACUCAAAGGAAUUGACGGGGCCCCGCACAAGCGGCGGAGCAUGCGGAUUAAUUCGAUGCAACGCGUAGAACCUUACCUGGGUUUGACAUGGAUCGGGAGUGCUCAGAGAUGGGUGUGCCUCUUUUGGGGUCGGUUCACAGGUGGUGCAUGGCUGUCGUCAGCUCGUGUCGUGAGAUGUUGGGUUAAGUCCCGCAACGAGCGCAACCCUUGUUCACUGUUGCCAGCACGUUAUGGUGGGGACUCAGUGGAGACCGCCGGGGUCAACUCGGAGGAAGGUGGGGAUGACGUCAAGUCAUCAUGCCCCUUAUGUCCAGGGCUUCACGCAUGCUACAAUGGCUGGUACAGAGAGUGGCGAGCCUGUGAGGGUGAGCGAAUCUCGGAAAGCCGGUCUCAGUUCGGAUUGGGGUCUGCAACUCGACCUCAUGAAGUCGGAGUCGCUAGUAAUCGCAGAUCAGCAACGCUGCGGUGAAUACGUUCCCGGGGCUUGUACACACCGCCCGUCAAGUCAUGAAAGUUGGUAACACCCGAAGCCGGUGGCCUAACCGUUGAGGGGGAGCCGUCGAAGGUGGGACUGGUGAUUAGGACCUC
rnacentral:rRNA from 1 species